rnacentral:miRNA from 1 species
GUUCGAUCGCAAAGGCCCAACGU